GUCUAUGGCGGACCGUGCGAGGCGGGCUUCGGCCCGGCCGGUCUUUCGUUCCGUUGAUCCCGGUUUUCCACCCUUGCACGGUCCGCCUCCCCU
rnacentral:antisense_RNA from 1 species